rnacentral:tRNA from 1 species
GCUUCACUAGCUCAGUCGGUAGAGCGUCAGUCUCAUACUAUCUGAAGGUCGAGAGUUCGAGCCUCCCGUGGAGCA